CCGCUCUCAGAUAACACAAUCGCCAGACGUAUUGAUGACAUGUCUACAGACAUCGAAAGCCAUGUUUUGGAAAAGAUACGCAUCAGUAGGAAAUUUGCGUUGCAACUUGAUGAGUCUACGGAUAUUCUCAGCUCUUGGCCAAUGUGCGUUUUGUGGAUGGAGAUGCCAUUAGAGAAAACUUCCUAUUUUGUAAGGCACUGCCAGAAAAAACAACAGGGGAGGAAAUUUUUUGGGUCAAAUCGGAAUAUCUUGACCAGGGAGGACUUACGUGGGAAAAUUGCACAAGUGUUUGCACUGAUGGAGCUGCAGCCAUGGUCGGGCACACCUAAGGCUUCGUUAGCAGAGUGAAGGAAAGAAACCCAGAUCUUAUUGUUACACACUGUUUUCUGCACCGUGAGGCCUUCGUUGCAAAGACUUUACCAGCAGAACUAGUUCCUGUGUUGGAUGAUGUUGUGCGCAUAGGGAACUUUGUAAAGACACGACCUUUGAAAAGGUAUAUUUGCAUCUUUGUGUGAGGAAAUGUGAGCGGAGCAUAAAGCCUUAUUGCUCCAUACGGAGGUCCGAUGGUUGUAGCGUGACAAGUUGCUGGCCCGUGUGUAUGAGCUGCGGGAGGAACUUAAAGUGUUUCUGACAAAUGAGAGGUCUGAUUACUCAAAUCUGUUUGAAAGUGAUGAGUGGUGUGCAAAGCUGGCAUACCUGGCAGAUAUAUUUCAUCAUCUGAAUGAACCGAACACACGGAUGCAAGGCCGAAAUGAGAACCUGCUUACAAGCAUGGAUAAAAUAAAUGGAUUCCAUUUAAAGGUGCACCUCUGGCAACAACAUGUGCAAAGUGCCAACCUUGAGAUGUUCCCACUCACAGAGGAACGGCAAGAUCACCCUGCUGCACUGUGCGAGGUAAUAGUUAAACAUCUGAAAACUCUUGAGGAGAAGUUGUCAUUUUAUUUCUCUUCAGCCUCCACUGAAUGCCUUGACUGCUGUUGGAAAGGACAUGACUUUACAGGAGCAGGAGGAACUAACUGAACUGAAACAAGAUCGUGGUUUAAAGCUAAGAUUUGCUGAACUUCCUUUGGACAGUUUUUGGUUGACUGCUGCCAAGGAAUUCCCCAUUCCGGCCAACAAAGUUUUGACAUUGCUCCCAUUUUCCACAACAUAUGUGUGUGAGCUGAGCUUUUCAAGCCUAACUGCUAUAAAAACUAAAAACAGAGAGAGACUGAAAGCUGUUGAAGAAGAGCUUCGUGUAUGCCUUUCUUCAAUUCCUGCCAGGAUAUCGGCUUUGUGUUCAUCUAAACAGGCCCAGGUUUCACACUGAGAAGCUGCCUUAAUCACGAUGAACCCAGGCUACGCAGGCAGGACCGAGCUCCGGGACAACCCGGAGGCCGCUUCAGAUCCGUCUCCAUGAUUGUGCCCGACCACGCCGUCAUCGCAGAGGUGGACUUGUGAGCUGAGGGCUUCAAGUUCAGUGAGACUCUGGCGAAGAAGAUGAUUCAGCUGUAUAAGCUGUGCAGCAAGCAGCUUUCCCGGCAGGACCACUACGACUUCAGCAUGAGAGUCGUCAACUCUGUUAUCGUCAUGGCCGGGUCUCUGAUGCGAGAGAACCCACACCUGAGUGAGAACGUGGUGUUGAUUAGAGCGCUACGAUACUCCAACCUGCCCAAGUUACUCAAGGAUGACGCAGAACUUAAAAUAAAAUAAAUUGAUAAAUAGUAAAGAACGCCAAAGCUUACAUAUGGAGUAUCAAAGGUCAUUAUCACAGGAUCACUGGAAUCAGGCACUAGGAGGAAAUUCCAGGACAAAUUAGGAAAUACAAUUAACUGACAUUUGCAAAUUCUUUGCAACUAAAAAGCUGUAAUUAUAUACUAUAUAACUUUUUUUUAAAGCAUUUAAAGUAUAUAACAUUAGCACCUUGUAAUGUUAUACCAGAUGAAAAGUAAAGAAUCCUGGAACAUCUGAACAUCCAUAAUCUGAAAAUCUUGAACCUAGUGUCAAUCGAGUCAAUCCAAUCCUUCUUGUGUGCGUUUAGCGGUAUUCUGUCGGACCUCUUUCCUGGCGUGGGCGUCCCCGAGCAUGACUACGGCGCGCUUCAGUCGAACAUCGAGGCAGCUCUAUGCGCCCGCUCCCUGCAGCCCGUCUCCAGCAUGACCGCCAGGGUGAUCCAGCUGUACGAGACCAUGCUAGUGCACCAGGGCGUCUUGCUGGUGGGCCCUACGAGAGGCGGUAAAACCACAGCAUACCGUGCCCUCGCUGACGCACUGCGCACCCUCCACGAGACAGAAGGCUGCGAGGUGAAUCCCUUAUACAAGCCCAUCGAGACCGACGUG